AUGUUACUAUCGUUAAAUAACAAGUUGGCUUUCUCUGAACUAAAGAUAAUCUUCAACCAUCUUACUCUAUCUCUUAGAUUCUUCACUCAUUACUGCAGAAAUUCACAACAUCCAUGGCUUGAUACAUCCAAUACCAAGCUUACAAUGGAGCUCAAGUUGCUUAGAUCUUUGAUUCAUGGGCAACCGAGCUUAGUCCAGUAG